CAUCAGUCUGGUUGAUGUUAAUAGUGGGGAGGUAUGGUUGUUUUAAAAAAGGAAAUUACUUGUGAAUGGACGUUGAAAUGAUAAGUUUUUAAGUAAUUUUGUAGGUAGUUUUUAAUGAAUCUUGAUUUUUUGAGGAUGAAUAAGAGGAGAUAUUGGAAAAUGAGGAAGCGGAGUAACUACACGGGACGUUGGCCCAAAGGAUUGAUUCUAAAUAAUUGUUUCACUGGAAAUGAACAAGUACUCUUGGAGGAUUGAGGAGGAAGAAGUUUUUGAGGAAGAUUAUAAUUGUUGUAAUGAUUCCAAUGAUUGAAUGAUCAGUAAUGGAGAUUGACAAGGGGAUGUGAUCGGUUUUGAAGGAUCCUUUUGUUACACUUAACAGUGAAUAGUAAUUUCAAUUGGUGAUCUUGUUCUUGAUAAUGUUCCUGAAUUUUUCUUUUAGAAACCUGUAGUUGUUAAUGAUAAACGAGGAUGUUUUGAGAAUGGAAAGUGGGAAAUA